rnacentral:misc_RNA from 1 species
GUUGAAGUGACAUAAAAAUAUAGAGACAUGCUUUAUUUCCCAGGAGGGAGAUGUGCCUCGCAAACCUUCACACUGCCAAGCUCCCUAACCAGUAAAGACAACUAUCAUUAGACUAACAAUUUUCUGAUCUACUAUAAACUAUUGUCUAAGCGCCAGAAAGUCAAUAGAGAAACCCUUCCCAUCAUCAGAAAGUUGCUGUAAUCCUGCCAAAACAUCAUCCCAGAGUUACUUGCCAUAAAGGCUCAUUUAACCUACAUUGUGUGCCUUAAAUCUUGACAAAUAACUGCUCUUUUGGAGCAUCACAUCCAAGUCCUUUCCCCUCGGCUCCACUUUAUUAUUU